rnacentral:lncRNA from 1 species
UCCACAUAGGAAUGCUGGGAUUAUAGUUGGCUAUCAUCACAUCUGCCUUUUAAUUUGGGUUCUGUAGACUGAACUCAGGCUUAUGGUUUUAAUUUUACCCACUGAGGACACUCCCUUCUCACAGAUCCACUUUUAUAUUGAAAAUCACAGUACAUUUGUACUAGUUUUUAAAGACUGAUGUCUUAUAAGUAACUGUUAUCCCUUUUCAUCAUAAAUUAUCUUAAAUCAACCAGAUAUAUCCUGCUGAAAGCAACCUAUAGAUAAAGGCUUUCCUGUAGCAAAUAUUAGUUUGUUUGCCAAGAGAUUUGUCACAAUCUGACUUAUAAAGACAUCUUGACUGUUAUUUUUCCCUAGGACAUCCACACAUGAAAGAAGAAAAUGGAUUACCAUUCCAUUGUAUUUUUCAGCUUUUUGGUACUAUGACAAAAUAUAUGUUAUAUGUAAUAGUUUAAAAGAAGGAAAGACUUUUUAAAAGGAGAUUCAGACUAUAGUUAUUUGCAUUGGACUUGUGGCAGCAGAAUGCUGUAAAUAUUUCCUCGUAUGUAUCUGGUAUGUCACUCUCCCACUACUAAUUCUCCUUGGCGAGUUCCUUCUCUCAUUAUACUAUAAUAAUAGGAUUUCUUAAGACUCAGUCCUCAGACUUUUCCUUUCCCUAUGUUAGCUGAUGUGGUUACCUCAGACAAUAUUGUGAUUGAAUGUACAUUGCACAUACUAAUGAUUCCCAAUUAUAUAGCUUAAUCUUCCUCAUCUGUGCCAGAACAUUAAACUUUUUGAUAUUAUCAUUAAGUUAUCAAAUGAAUGAUACAUAUUUGCAUGCCCAAUAUCAAAUACUUAAUUCCAAUACCUUACUCACUGCAAGUUUUCUCCAUUUAGUGGAGGAUGAGAUUUUCUGUAGCUCAGACCAAAAAUUUUUCACUCCACUUACUUCACUCUAUUGACAAAUAUAUCUACUAUACUUUUGAAAUAUAUUGAGAAACUCACCACUUCAUAACACUCUCACCUUCCUAUCACCCUAGCAUAAACCACUAUCGUUUCCAGAUUGCUGCAACCCUGAAUAACUUCAGUAAUCUGUAGUUCAUCUCCCUGCAUCUCCCCUUGCUCUGACUCAGUCUUCUACUCAAAAGCCAGAAUCUGCUUUAUAAUUUUUUUUCAAUUUAUUUAUCUUUGUUCACUUCUUUGUUUGAGAAACUAUGUUUCUCCAGUUGACCUGGAACUUGCUAUGUAGAACAUGCUGUCCUUAAAAUUACAGUGUUUCUCCUGCCUCUGUCUCCCAGAUAUUGGAACUACAGGUUUCUAUCAUCAUAUCACAUGCUAGACUCUACUUUUAAAAAUCAGUAUAAUUGAAGUAAAAUCAUAUAAAUAAAAUGUACCCAUUUUAAUG